rnacentral:rRNA from 1 species
AAAGGUAAGCUACUAAGAGCGAAUGGUGGAUGCCUUGACUGGUAAAGGCGAUGAAGGACGUACUAGACUGCGAUAAGCUACGGGGAGCUGUCAAGAAGCUUUGAUCCGUAGAUUUCCGAAUGGGGCAACCCAAUGUAUAGAGAUAUACAUUACCUAUAUAGGAGCGAACGAGGGGAAUUGAAACAUCUUAGUACUCUCAGGAAAAGAAAUCAAUAGAGAUUGCGUCAGUAGCGGCGAGCGAAAGCGCAAGAGGGCAAACCCAGUGCUUGCACUGGGGGUUGUAGGACUGCAAUGUGCAAGAGGUAAGUUUAGCAGAACAUUCUGGAAAGUAUAACCAUAGAGGGUGAUAGUCCCGUAUGCGAAAAACAAACCUUAGCUAGCAGUAUCCUGAGUAGGGCGGGACACGAGGAAUCCUGUCUGAAUCCGGGUCGACCACGAUCCAACCCUAAAUACUAAUACCAGAUCGAUAGUGCACAAGUACCGUGAGGGAAAGGUGAAAAGAACUGAGGUGAUCAGAGUGAAAUAGAACCUGAAACCAUUUGCUUACAAUCAUUCAGAGCCCUAUGUAGCAAUACAGGGUGAUGGACU